AGAGCGAACGCUGGCGGCAGGCCUAACACAUGCAAGUCGAGCGCCCCGCAAGGGGAGCGGCAGACGGGAGAGUAACACGUGGGAACGUACCCUUCAGUUCGGAACAACCCAGGGAAACUUGGGCUAAUACCGAAUACGUCCGUAAGGAGAAAGAUUUAUCGCUGAAGGAUCGGCCCGCGUCUGAUUAGCUUGUUGGUGAGGUAACGGCUCACCAAGGCGACGAUCAGUAGCUGGUCUGAGAGGAUGAUCAGCCUCACUGGGACUGAGACACGGCCCAGACUCCUACGGGAGGCAGCAGUGGGGAAUAUUGGACAAUGGGCGCAAGCCUGAUCCAGCCAUGCCGCGUGGGUGAUGAAGGCCCUAGGGUUGUAAAGCCCUUUCGGCGGGGAAGAGUAAUGACGGUACCCGCAGAAGAAGCCCGGCUAACUUCGUGCCAGCAGCCGC
rnacentral:rRNA from 1 species